GCCUCUGAGGAUGAUCAAAUUAUAACUUUCGUUCUUCUGAGUUUAACAUGCGGAAAUUUCAUGGAGACCUGAACUGAAGAGGC
rfam:Medicago truncatula strain A17 chromosome 8, whole genome shotgun sequence.